CCCAAGUCAUGGUUAAGUGGGAAACGAUGUGGGAAGGCACAGACAGCCAGGAUGUUGGCUUAGAAGCAGCCAUCAUUUAAAGAAAGCGUAAUAGCUCACUGGUCGAGUCGGCCUGCGCGGAAGAUGUAACGGGGCUAAACCAUGCACCGAAGCUGCGGCAGCGACGCUUAUGCGUUGUUGGGUAGGGGAGCGUUCUGUAAGCCGUUGAAGGUGGCCUGUGAGGGUUGCUGGAGGUAUCAGAAGUGCGAAUGCUGACAUAAGUAACGAUAAAGCGGGUGAAAAGCCCGCUCGCCGGAAGACCAAGGGUUCCUGUCCAACGUUAAUCGGGGCAGGGUGAGUCGACCCCUAAGGCGAGGCCGAAAAGGCGUAGUCGAUGGGAAACAGGUUAAUAUUCCUGUACUUGGUGUUACUGCGAAGGGGGGGGGACGGAGAAGGCUAUGUCAGCCGGGGCGACGGUUGUCCCGGUUUAAGCAUGUAGGCGGAGGUUCCAGGUAAAUCCGGUACCUUAUUAACGCUGAGGUGUGAUGACGAGGCACUACGGUGCUGA
rnacentral:ncRNA from 1 species